GCUGACGAGUGGCGGACGGGUGAGUAAUGUCUGGGAAACUGCCUGAUGGAGGGGGAUAACUACUGGAAACGGUAGCUAAUACCGCAUAACGUCGCAAGACCAAAGAGGGGGACCUUCGGGCCUCUUGCCAUCGGAUGUGCCCAGAUGGGAUUAGCUAGUAGGUGGGGUAACGGCUCACCUAGGCGACGAUCCCUAGCUGGUCUGAGAGGAUGACCAGCC
rnacentral:rRNA from 1 species